rnacentral:rRNA from 1 species
UCGAGGGGGAUAACAGUUGGAAACGACUGCUAAUACCGCAUACGCCCUACGGGGGAAAGAGGGGGACCUUCGGGCCUCUCGCGAUUGGAUGAACCUAGGUGGGAUUAGCUAGUUGGUGAGGUAAUGGCUCACCAAGGCGACGAUCCCUAGCUGUUCUGAGAGGAUGAUCAGCCACACUGGGACUGAGACACGGCCCAGACUCCUACGGGAGGCAGCAGUGGGGAAUAUUGCACAAUGGGGGAAACCCUGAUGCAGCCAUGCCGCGUGUGUGAAGAAGGCCUUCGGGUUGU